GGUCGGGUUACUCAUUCUUUUCUCGGUCAUUCAGGCAUUCUCCAAUGCACAUAACUACAACUAUGGAAAUGCAGCUACAACUAGCAACACUACGACUAUAACACGACCACUAUUAGAAUAAAUAACAGAAUCCAGAAUGCUGGUAGUCAAACCUUCACGUAGCGCGGAUAUACUUGCCCGAGUGGAAAGAGAAAGAAGUCGGGGGUCCACUUUGUUCGGAAGAAACACUCCAACUUGCUCAGCUCAUUUCAAAUAGCCCUUAUUUCUCUUUACCUACCCUUGUCUUGCUCGCUUGAAAAAGAGAUAAAGAGAGGUCACCCAUAAUAAUUGGAAUCCAAAACUCUAUUUUCAUAGACUGACUUUAUACGCUAUGGAAGUCGAAAAGAAACUAUAUCAACUAUGUGGCUAUGGAAGUCGAAAAGGAACUAUCAACUAUGGGUACGAAUGAAAAUCCCACGCUGAAAGACUUAUACUUAAUACAAUUAAUGUAGGGGGAGGCAUAACUGCUAUCAGAGACUAGGCCUUUAUUCUUGCUUAUUCUAUAAGUGAUUACGCAAGGCCUUCUGACUCACUCCCUAACGGGGCAUUUCCUCCACCACUACCCGUUAUUCCAGCAGUAAAGCAAACAACAGUUAUUUAAGUGAUUCCCACAGCAGAUUCAAUACGAGUUCCAGUUAGCCCAGUUCGAGUUUCCAACUGCAUAUAGAUAUAUAUAUAUUUCCAGAGUCAAGAGAAUAGAAUAAGAUAUUUCAAGAGAAUAGAAUAAGCUGUAUAAGCAGAAUCCGCAGGAGAAUCAACAGGAAGGAUCAAAAGCUGGAGUUGAUGAUUUGACUGUUUUGUUUGACUCGGCUAACGGGAAUGUUGUUGACUUCAGAUCCACUGCUGAAGCUAAGCUAAUGCCGUGCGAGUUGACCUGACCGCGAGAGAGAAAGUGCAUUCUAGAGCGUUAAGUAUUGCCCACCCCAAUCGCUCUGUUCUCGUUUAAUGUUCUGUUGGAGUUUAAUAUAGAAAUAGAAAGAAGCGAGUCAUAUUCCUACCUAAAAUACUCUGCCCAAUAAACGAGUCCUGUUUUAUGGAGCCGGAUCAACAGACUGAUAUCCAACAUAGCUCCUACGAGAAUGGAUCUGAAUCAGUUCGAAAGUCAAGUUAGGGUAUUGAAGCCUAAACCUAGUUGUAGAGAGAAUCAACUGUAUCUUCAGGGAGGCGGGAAGUAGUUCUGAACGUGGCUAGAGAGGUUAAGGCAAGAAUAUAGUAAAGUUCAUAGAAAUAAUAGAGCAUUGUUUCCCUUGUGGCGCAAGAAGACUAAGUGAGUGGAGGUCGGUCUAGUUCAAGGAUCUUAUGCUGUUCGAAGGGAAGCGGAUAUUGCGGGGAGAAAGAGCUACUGUUUUUACUGCAGCUAUUGGAUAGAUAGGCACUGCUAAGCUAAGAUACUUUGGUUGAAGCUAGAGGAGAAGAUGCCGCGCCGCUCCCUUGUAGAUAAUCCCAAUCCCGAGUUUUCUCACUACUUUUGAACUCACUACUACUGUUGCUACUCUCUGAACUCACUCCUACUGUUGCUCGCAGGAGCAUUCCCUACAAUAUUAAUUCUAUCUUUCUAAAGGAUGGGUAAUUGAAAAAAGUGCACUCUGGAAUCAGAGGUUCAGAUAUGAUAGUUUAGGCCAUCAAUAUGUUAGGAAGAAAUGAAUUCCGGUGGACAGUUUCUUAGUGGUCUGGUCUAGUUGCAUCAGUAGCUGAGGCUGCCAAUGAGGUAAUUGAACUAAGUUGUAUAAG
rnacentral:lncRNA from 1 species